GGCACCAACCUAGUAUCAUAGUUCAAACUCAAACACAAAGGCGAGAGAGAAACAGAAACAGCCCGCAGAAGUCUCUGAGAGUGUUUGGAGAGUCAGAAAACAUGUCCACCGUUAUACUCAGCAGUGGCUACGAGAUGCCGGUCAUCGGCCUCGGCCUUUGGCGUCUGGAGAAGAACGAGCUCAAAGACGUCAUCUUAAAUGCUAUUAAGCUUGGCUAUCGCCAUUUUGACUGUGCUGCUCAUUACAAGAGUGAAACAGACGUUGGGGAAGUAUUUGCAGAAGCAUUUAAGAUUGGACUUGUCAAGAGGGAAGAACUUUUCAUUAGCACCAAGAUUUGGAAUUCAGACCAUGGGUAUGAGGUUGAGGCCUGUAAAAACAGCCUCAAGAAGCUUCAGCUAGAUUAUCUGGAUCUCUACCUAGUUCACUACCCAUUGCCCACGAAGCAUAAUGCCAUUGGUCAAACUGCCAGUCUUAUGGGCAAGGACAAGGUGCUGGACAUAGAUGUAACAAUUUCCCUUCAACAAACCUGGGAGGGGACAUGGAAAAGACUGUCUCUUUGGGCUUAGUUCGUAGCAUUGGUCUCAGCAACUACGACCUCUUUCUAACCAGAGAUUGCUUGGCUUACUCCAAAAUAAAGCCUGCAGUGAGCCAAUUUGAAACUCACCCCUACUUCCAGCGCGACUCUCUCGUCAAAUUCUGCUUGAAACACGGUGUUCUUCCCACAGCUCACACCCCUCUAGGAGGUGCUGCGGCCAACAAGGAUAUGUUUGGUUCAAUUUCACCUUUGGAUGAUCCAGUUCUCAAUGAUGUGGCUAGGAAGUACGGGAAGAGUGUGGCACAAAUCUGUCUGAGGUGGGGAAUUCAAAGGAAAACAGCAGUGAUUCCAAAGUCAUCGAAAAAAUUCAGAGAUUGAAAGAGAAUUUGGAGGUUCUUGAAUUCCAGCUGAGUCAUGAAGACAUGGAGGUCAUAAACACUAUAGACAGGAAAUGUCGUGCCAGUCUACCUUCCAAGAGUUGGGGCUUAGAUGUGUAUACGCAUAAGCGUGGAAUUCAAAAUCCUCCGAAUUGCUGCUUCUGCAACUUCUUCAAAGGGUGUUAAACGGACGCGAAAUGGUAAGUAUCGUGACUCUUACUUACAAUAAACUGAGCUUUAUAUAAUUUUCCCCAAGCUUCGUCUAUCUGCUAGUUCAAAAACUUUUAUUAUUCGGCCUUUGUUUUGGGCAUUGCAAACGAGAAUAUAUAAUCAAAUGAAUGCCAUUGUAAUUUUUUUUUUUUUUGUAUUAAUGAGUGAUUAAAGGCUUUGUUGUUGUUGUUGUAAAUGAGUGACUAAAGAAAGUGUAACAAGUUACACAGAACCAAGGACAAUGACAUUCUAGGAUUCAUAUAGCAGACUCCACUUACUGGGAAAAGGCUUUGUUGUUGUUGUUGUUGUAAUAAAUGAGUGAUUAAAUAAAGUGUAACAAAUUACAUAUUG